ensembl:snoRNA SNORD115 Small nucleolar RNA SNORD115
AGGCCUAUGUAAAUGAUGUCAUACAAACAUCAUGGGGAGAGGUGAUAAUAUAAAAUUCAUGGUCAAUAUUAUCACACUGGGGCCC